ACGCUACCGGCAGGCUUAAUACAUGCAAGUCGUGGGGCAGCACAGGGUAGCAAUACUUGGGUGGCGACCGGCAAACGGGUGCGGAACACGUACGCAACCUUCCUUCAGGCGGGGAAUAGCCCAGAGAAAUUUGGAUUAAUACCCCAUAAGAUUUUGAGAUGGCAUCAUCUUAUUAUUAAAGAUUUAUCACCUGAAGAUGGGCGUGCGGCUGAUUAGGUAGUUGGCGGGGUAACGGCCCACCAAGCCUACGAUCAGUAGCUGAUGUGAGAGCAUGAUCAGCCACACGGGCACUGAGACACGGGCCCGACUCCUACGGGAGGCAGCAGUAAGGAAUAUUGGUCAAUGGACGCAAGUCUGAACCAGCCAUGCCGCGUGGAGGAUGAAGGUCCUCUGGAUUGUAAACUUCUUUUAUCUGGGACGAAAAAGGGUUUUCUAACUCGUCUGACGGUACCAGAUGAAUAAGCACCGGCUAACUCCGUGCCAGCAGCCGCGGUAAUACGGAGGGUGCAAGCGUUAUCCGGAUUCACUG
rnacentral:rRNA from 1 species